CGCAAGCCGACGCAGGGAUCGCCGGGCGACCAAAGGGACGGGGAGCGAACAGGACAAAAUUCUCCCAGAUAUCUACCGUUCACUAUUCCGUGAAGCUAUCUAUUGUUACAAAGUGAACCCACCCAUCUUGAGGAGUUACCACGCAUGACAGAGGAUUUUCACGUUCUGCUGAAGUUGGGGGCAGCCAUGCUGAUGCCUGAGGGGUAGUCACUGCACCUUCUAGACUGGAUCCUACAAGGGACCGGGCUGAACUCUGUGUCUGAAGGAAAAUAAAAAUAAGAUUAUAGGCUAGUACCUCCACUGAUUCAAACAAUUUCCUACCAUAUUCCUAAGACUUACAUUUCUAUCAUUGCUUAUAUGCACAACCAGAGUCUUUCUGUACAAAACUACCGCAACCUUUGCAUACAAAUACUAACUAUCCUGUCCCUGACUAAAGCCAAAUGUAGAUACCUAUUUAAUUGCACUUUAGUUGGAGGAAAAAGAGACGCAGUUGAACAAAGUGUUGGUUUUAUUAACUAGUCAGGCACAUCUACCCCAAAUUGGGUUGGGAUACCACAGUGAUGUAAGGCUGGGAAGAGUAUAAAAACAGGAGACUAGAAAAGAAAAGAUAAUGGAAAAUGAAGGGUGAUCAUGAAGUCCUGCAUCUGAACUGCUAGUCAGACACCAAGCAAAGAACACAAGCAUCAACCCAACACAAAAUAUACAGGUCUUCAGGAGGACCCAGAUCAUGCUGAUAAAAACCCCUUUCACAGGGAAUAACAGCAAAUCAAUGUCACAUUAAUGAAUUCAUUAAAAGUUACUUACACAGGCAA